ensembl:lncRNA
CUAUCAUCAAUCUGGUCUGAAGGGCUUGCAUGAGAAAGGAGCUAGAGGUCGUGGGCGGGGUUAAAAUUUACUGCACUGUAGGUGUCAAACAGUGCAUUCAGCCUAGUAUCUGCAUGUCAAUAGAGCCUGCUUGUUGACAUGUUAUGUUCCACUUCCACAUAAGCCUCUUGUAGUGUUUUGGUAAUGUAUCAUUCCUUCUUUUCCCCCAUUUUGACUUCCCUUCCUCUGUUUUGAUCAACUUUACAGUCUGAUUCAGGAGAAAGAAAGGGAGGGAGGUCUGCUGGUAUAGGACUGGGUGACUGGAACGGUGGCGUGAAGGAGGAGGAAGACAAGGGGGGCAAGACACAUUGAGUUUGCCCAGUCAGGCAGAACGAUCGACAGGAAGCCAGGCAGGAAGGAAGAGGGGUGAGGAAGUUCACCUAGGCCUUCACCUGGACUGUGACAAGAGGAUGAACUCUCCUGGUUUCCAUCUGCUCACCAAUCCACCUUGGGAAUGUUCUUUUGGCUCCAUCAGCGCUUGGCCUCAUCCUGCCUGACUGAAGAUCAGCCAGAUAAUGUUAUCUCCUGACCAAUCAGAUGCCUGGAUCCCUACCUCAUCCCACAGCCACUAAAGGCCUGGGAAUUGAGGAGAACACCUUUUGGGAGCAGGUUCCUUCAUGUAAUGAUCUGCUAGAGGGUGUGGGGGGGGGCCACAGCACCGUCCUCCAGGGCAUGAAGCAGGUAUGGAGGAGAUCAAAACUCCAGACAUCCAGAGGCCCCCAGAACAUGCCCCUCAAUUUUUAUCUGACCCCUAUAUAGCUGUUGUUGCAAAAGCAAGAACAGAUACAUAGAAUUGUGUUGUUUGGCAACACAGUAUAUUUAGAUUAAAGUGAUGACAUCCUGCUUUAUUAAAUAUUGUCGUGGCAUCUAUCCACUCUGUCUCCCUUUUUAGUUGGUUCUCUUCAAAGUCAUGGAUGAAAAAAAAGAACAAGGUUACACUGGAGCAAAGAAAAGUCAAAGAAAAGGAGGAGCAAAACACAGAGAGACGGUAGGCAGGCAAGUGAACUUCACCAUAACAACACAAGUCUCUCCACCGUCACUUACCUCCUUCCCUCAGCGCACCUCACCCUGCACCCCUCGGUCCUGAAUCGCAUCCAAAUCUUAUACAUUCACAGGCUGGAGCUAGCCAACUUUCACAGCUGUCACACAUUUUCAACAGAUUCCACCAGGCCUA